ensembl:lncRNA
AAGUAAGCAAGUAAGCAAGUAUGUAAGUAUGUAAGUAAGUAAGUAUGUAAGCAAGUAAGUAAGUAAUUAAGUAAGUAUGUAAAUAAGCAAGUAAGUAAGUAAGUAAGUAAGUAUGUAAGUAAGUAUGUACGUAAUAUGUCAGUAAGUAAGUAUGUAAGUAUGUAAGGAAGUAAGUAAGCAAGUAAGUAAGUAAGUAAGCAAGAAUGUAAGUAAGUAUGUAAGUAUGUAAGGAAGUAAGUAAGCAAGUAAGUAAGUAAGUAAGCAAGUAAGUAUGUCAGCAAGAAAGUAAGUAAGUAUGUCAGUAAGUAAGUAAGUAAGUAUGUAAGUUAAUAAGUAAGUGAGUAAGUAAGUAAGUAUGUAAGUAAGUAAGUAUGUAAGCAAGAAAGUAAGUAUGUAAGCAAGUAAGUAAGUAAGUAUGUAAGUAAGUAUGUAAGUAAU